AAAGAUUAAGCCAUGCAUGUCUAAGUAUAAGCAAUUAUACCGCGAAACUGCGAAUGGCUCAUUAUAUAAGUUAUCGUUUACUUGAUAGCACAUUACUACUUGGAUAACCGUGGUAAUUCUAGAGCUAAUACAUGCUAAAAAUCCCGACUUCGGAAGGGAUGUAUUUAUUAGAUUAAAAACCAAUGCCCUUCGGGCUUGCUGGUGAUUCAUAAUAACUUCUCGAAUCGCAUGGCCUUGCGCCGGCGAUGGUUCAUUCAAAUCUCUUCCCUAUCAACUUUCGAUGCGAAGGUCUUGUCUUCGCAUGGUUACAACGGGNNNNNNNNNGUUAGGGCUCGACCCCGGAGANGGAGCCUGAGAAACGGCUACUACAUCCAAGGAAGGCAGCAGGCGCGCAAAUUACCCAAUCCCGACACGGGGAGGUAGUGACAAUAAAUACUGAUACAGGGCUCUUUUGGGUCUUGUAAUUGGAAUGAGUACAAUUUAAAUCUCUUAACGAGGAACAAUUGGAGGGCAAGUCUGGUGGACAUCCAGUUCCUAAUGCUGGCGCCAC
rnacentral:rRNA from 1 species